AGCAAUAUAAACGGAUGCAUGGGACACGGGCUUUAACACUGUUUAUGACAGCAGUCUCAUGUUGCCAUUUGAUAAGUCUUAGCCUGAAGAAUUUUACCGCAGAGUAAAUUAGAUUCAACUUUGGCUAAUGAUGACACUCGGCCAUAAAAGACCAUUUUAACCAAAUUUUACCACCCCCGACAUCUUUAGAAAAUUCUUCAAAAUUUUGCAACUUCGCAAACCCAACUUUUUCCAAGUUAGUUGUGGAAACCAACAAAAAAUUGCAACACAACCUGCGCAAAACUUCGUUCGAAAAUUCUUUGACUAUCGUCGUAAUAUGAGUUAGAACUUCUUCCCAAUUCAUAUUAAGCAAACUGAGAAUAUUAUUUGUAAUGCGAUUCUUCCAAUUAAACACGGGUUUUGUAGCGUUUAAUGAUAGAACGCACCUCGUCGUUUCUUUGCUGAACCUGUAAUACUUUAAUAAGUAUUUUUUAAAUCUAUCUGGUUCCUAGAAAGUGGAACGCUAAUAAAUUUAGCUCUAAUCACUGUAUGAUUUUAGCAAUGUAAGCUGUUCAGGCUCGUGUUGGGUGGAUUUCGAUUUGUGUCAUGUUUUUUAAACUAUCGAAUUUUUCACUUUAAAUUAGUAGUCACAUCUUAUACAUGCAAAGUUCUAAAUGCCGGAAAACCAGAAUGCUACUACAGUUUCUGGCAAUAAGCAUAUAAGUAAAUCGGCGUUGACUUUCUCAUAAAUUAACAAAUACUGAAAUUAAUUUAGUUCAUUUGUUCAGCAGAUGAACAGGGAAAAUGGAACAAAACAACUACAUAUCAAUCCUAUUAAUAAAUGUUGUAAAUCAUAUGAUAUGGUUACUUAAAUUAUUAGGUACGGCUUUGAUAGUAAUAUUUGAGUCAUUGUUGCAUUGGCUGACUCAAAAAUAUUUCCACUGUUUACUAUUCUAUUAUUAGUAGAAUUUUUUACUGCUUCUCAAAUUGAUAAUAUUUCGUGCUAACCGAAUGGAGCUAUAACUAUCGUAUAUUAGCAGUUAUAACUCUCAUGCUGCCAGUAUUACUUGAUUUAACGUGAUGGGCUAAUUUUCGUUUGAAAGUAAGAGUUUCUAAAUUAUUUCGUUUUCAUACAUCAAGGGGAUUUGCCAAUUGAGCCCUCUUUAAGUCUUCGAGAAGUACCAGCAACAACUUUAUAAGUUAUCAUGCCACUCAGACCUCAAAGUGCCACGUCCAGACAAGAAAGUGAAAUGGCUGCUAGAAGUUUGAGGGAGCUACAAUCAACAGGUGGUUCUAGUGACCCUGUGCAAAGACUUCGUCUCUUAUGUUUGUCUAGAGGAGCUUCUGGCAUCUUAGGCUUGGGUAAGAAUAACAAAACUCACUUAAGAAAGUUUAUUAAUAAACGAGUUUGUUAAUUAAUAAACCAAUCAGUGCAUUUUAAUUGCUGUAAAUAUGUAAUAAGUAUUUU